rnacentral:rRNA from 1 species
UACAGAGGCCACAAGCGUUAGGCGGAAUCACUGGGCGUAAAGGGUGCGUAGGCGGGUUUUUAAGUCAGGGGUGAAAUCCUGGAGCUCAACUCCAGAACUGCCUUUGAUACUGAGGAGCUUGAGUCCGGGAGAGGUGAGUGGAACUGCGAGUGUAGAGGUGAAAUUCGUAGAUAUUCGCAAGAACACCAGUGGCGAAGGCGGCUCACUGGCCCGGUACUGACGCUGAGGUGCGAAAGCGUGGGGAGCAAACAGG